GCCGUCGUAGCUCAGCUGGUAGAGCACCACCAUGGUAAGGUGGGGGUCGUGGGUUCGAGCCCCAUCGUCGGCU
rnacentral:tRNA from 1 species